CUUUCUUCCCCUCUGGGCCGUUGGGGGUUAUCCUGGUCCCUGCUGGGCCACACGCCAAGGUCUCCCAUACAAACUGUGAGAUGCCACUUCGACAAACUGAGCGCCGAGCGGUGGCACACAAAAUGGCGGAUGCACCUGCGCCUGUGAAACAGGACCCAGAGCCACAUCAAGACGACCUUAUGGACCCAUUUAGCCACAUUGAAGAGCGUCUGGAAGCAGCUUUCAACCACUUUUGGGCAACUUUAAUGGACCGGAUGAAGCGGGCGCCCCCUGCAAAAUAACCACUGGUGAGAGAGCAGACACGCGGCAGAACAAGGCCUGAGAGACCCCUCAAAGGCAAACCAACCUCAAGGUCAGCAAACCGUAAAACCUUGCGCCUCCCUGGGUCUAGGAUCACCUAGGAAAUACCCCCAAUGCACUGUCCUAACAAGCAGAGAGGACCGAC